GAUGAACGCUGGCGGCGUGCCUAAUACAUGCAAGUCGAGCGAACAGACGAGGAGCUUGCUCCUCUGACGUUAGCGGCGGACGGGUGAGUAACACGUGGAUAACCUACCUAUAAGACUGGGAUAACUUCGGGAAACCGGAGCUAAUACCGGAUAAUAUAUUGAACCGCAUGGUUCAAUAGUGAAAGACGGCUUUGCUGUCACUUAUAGAUGGAUCCGCGCCGCAUUAGCUAGUUGGUAAGGUAACAGCUUACCAAGGCAACGAUGCGUAGCCGACCUGAGAGGGUGAUCGGCCACACUGGAACUGAGACACGGUCCAGACUCCUACGGGAGGCAGCAGUAGGGAAUCUUCCGCAAAGGGCGAAAGCCUGACGGAGCAACGCCGCGUGAGUGAUGAAGGUCUUCGGAUCGUAAAACUCUGUUAUUAGGGAAGAACAAAUGUGUAAGUAACUAUGCACGUCUUGACGGUACCUAAUCAGAAAGCCACGGCUAACUACGUG
rnacentral:rRNA from 1 species